AACACAUAUAUAUGGCCUUUUGCCCACUGUAGUGUGACCCUGGAGUUAGUAUAUAUAUAUAUAUAUAUAUAUAUAUAUAUAUAUAUAUAUAUAUAUAUAUAUAUAUAUAGUAAGGGGGGUGUGGGGGGCACCGCCGCCUACAUUGGGGGGGUUUAAAUAUUUUGAACUAUAUA